rnacentral:rRNA from 1 species
GUGGGGAAUAUUGGACAAUGGGCGAAAGCCUGAUCCAGCCAUGCCGCGUGUGUGAAGAAGGUCUUCGGAUUGUAAAGCACUUUAAGUUGGGAGGAAGGGCAGUAAGUUAAUACCUUGCUGUUUUGACGUUACCGACAGAAUAAGCACCGGCUAACUUCGUGCCAGCAGCCGCGGUAAUACGAAGGGUGCAAGCGUUAAUCUGAAUUACUGGGCGUAAAGCGCGCGUAGGUGGUUUUGUAAGUUGGAGGUGAAAUCCCCGGGCUCAACCUGGGAACUGCCUCCAAAACUGCAUGACUAGAGUACGGUAGAGGGUAGUGGAAUUUCCUGUGUAGCGGUGAAAUGCGUAGAUAUAGGAAGGAACACCAGUGGCGAAGGCGACUACCUGGACUGAUACUGACACUGAGGUGCGAAAGCGUGGGGAGCAAACAGGAUUAGAAACCCUUGUAGUCC